UUAAUUUAAAAAUUAUUAUUUUAUUAUUGUUAUAUAAUAUUUAUUAUUUUAUUUGAAUAAAAUUAAUUUUUUUAAGUUUAAGUAUAUUUAUAGAAAAAAUUUAUUAUAAUUAUAGUUUAUUAGUAUUGUGAAAGAAUUUUUAAAUAAUUGAAAAAUUUAAUUUUUAAUAAGUAAAUUUUAAUUUUUGUACCUUGUGUAUCAGGGUUUAUUUAAAUAAUAAUAUUUAUUAUAUUUUUUUCGAAUUUAAAAGAUCUAARUAAAUAUAAWUCUUAACGUUGAAAUAUUAUUUUUAAUUUUUAUUUAGUAAUGAAACGUUUUUCAUUUUUAAAGUUGUCUAAUUUUCUAAUAAAUAAAUUUAAUUUAGAUAUMAAUUUAAAAAUAAUAAUUUUUUUUUAUUAUUUUAUUUUUAUAUUAAUAUUUUAAGGGAUAAGCUUUAAAAUAAAAUAUUAUAAUUUUAUUUUUAAUAAAUUAUUUAAAAUAUCAUUUAGAUUUAAAAAUAGUUUUAAUUUAAAAAGUGUUAUAAUUUAUUAUUUAUUUGAUAAAAUUUUUUAUUUAUUUAAUUUUUUAUUAAAAUAUUUUAUUAAAUAAUUUAAUUUAAUAAAAUAUGAUAAAAUUAGUAAAAUAAAUUGUUUAUUUAAUUUAAUAAAUAAUUGUAAGGUUAAUUAAAGGAAUUCGGCAAAAAUUUUUAUUUGCUUGUUUAACAAAAACAUCGUUUUUUGAAUAUAAUAUAAAAUAUGAUCUGCUCAAUGAAAUAUUUUAAAUAGCCGCAGUAUUUUGACUGUGCAAAGGUAGCAUAAUAAUUAGUUUUUUAAUUGAAGGCUGGAAUGAAGGAUUAGACAAAAUAAAAACUGUCUUUAAUUAAUUUUAAUUGAAUUUAAUUUUUAAGUUAAAAAGCUUAAAUUUUAUUAAAGGACGAGAAGACCCUAUAGAGUUUUAUAUUUAUUAUAAUUUUUAUUUUUAAUUUAUUUUUAAAUUAUUAUAAGUAUUUUGUUGGGGUGAUAGAUAAAUUUAAUUAACUUUUUUAUUUUUUAUUUACAUUAAUUAAUGAAUUUUUGAUCCUAAUUUUUAGAUUAUUAGAUUAAAUUACCUUAGGGAUAACAGCAUAAUUUUUUUUAAAGUUCUUAUUGAUUAAAAAGAUUGUGACCUCGAUGUUGGAUUAAAAUUUAUUUUAGGUGUAGAAGCUUAAUAAUUAGAUCUGUUCGAUCUUUAAAAUUUUACAUGAUCUGAGUUCAAACCGGUGUAAGCCAGGUUGGAUUCUAUCCUUAAUUAAUAAAAAAUUUUUAGUACGAAAGGAAUAAAAUUUUAAUUUAAAAUUUAAUUAUAUUUGAAUUAUAUUAAAUUAUUAUAAUAAUAUUAUUAUUAUAUUGUU
rnacentral:rRNA from 1 species